AUGAAUAUUAUGUGUUCGAACUGUCGGGGUUGUGGGCGGCCCGAGACAGUUCGUGAAAUUAGUGACCUCGUUAGGUUGCAACGCCCGGGUCUGCUCUUUCUUUCGGAGACCAAGUUGACUGAGAAGAGAGCUCAAGAUCUUAGACGGAGAUUUGGCUUCAGUAAUGCUUUUGGAGUUAAGGCCAUUGGAUUAAGCGGAGGAUUGUGCCUUUAUUGGAAUAAUGAUUCUAAGGUGUCACUGAAAUCAUACAGU
rnacentral:rRNA from 1 species